ensembl:lncRNA
AGCCAAACCCUGAGAAUAUGAGGAUGCUGCAAGUGCCCUUCUGUCCUGGAGUAUGAGCUGCAGGAUCCUCUGAGCUGAUGGGACGGCUCUGUGGCAAACUAAAUGGACUGUAGUUUUCCCUUCAUAACCACUUGUUUGAUAUCAUUUUUACAGAAGCUCUACUUUUUUGUAAAGUCGUCUUUUUUCUGCUGCACUUUGUCUUGUGAUUCUGCCUUAUUAUUUCUUCCUCCUGUUUUCAGUGCUGACUCUCCACAGGUGUCCCUGGACCUCACCGUCAUCCAUCAGAGUAAUUUCCUCUGAAUCCAUCCCCCACAGGAGCUCACUGGAGGUUCCCCUUUGGUCCUGAUAUGAUGAGAUGAUUUAACAGCCGCAUUCCCACAGCUAAUCCACAUGGAGGAGAUGGAACCUUCCAACUGAUUCCCUUUUCCUUUUCCCGAUGCCAUUACACCCUGCCUUUGAUACGAUCUGAUUUGACACAUGCCACAAAACGUGAAGAGAUCACAAUGCCUCUUUCUUUGGAAACUUAAACAAGCAGUUUCUGAUUUUUGAUGCUGCUUUUCUUUCAGAAAAAUUACCCAGAGAGUAGUUGAUUUUCUUAUCUUGGGGUAGCUCUAAAAAGAGAGAGGAGAUAAAAUUGUUACAUUGAGUGCUGCCUGUGUCCUUGGCUUUAUACCAACUGCACAAAGAGGGAACCUUGCCUUGCUAACUCUCGGCAUAAAAGAAGACGGAUCAAAUAGUUCCAGAGGAGCUUGGAGAAGUGUCGGCCACGGCCUGCAGGGCUUUCUGCACCCGAGCACUUUGUAAAACUGUAAUGAAUGACAGAAAGCAGAGAAGUGAUUACCUAAGGUUAAGGACAAGUGUUGGAUUGUCCACAAAGAAGCAAGAAGGAACUUUUAAAGGACCAAGUGACCCUCAGGCAAAUGCUCAGUUCUACCUGGACCAACGAGGGAGGAAGCCAUUACUCAAAAAACAGGAACACCAGGAGUCCAGCAGCACUUUGGUCAAAUGGAGAUGCCAGCUUUUCUGUCUGGAUUCUAUCAGGAUUUAUGCUGUGGCCAUUUCAAGGAGACUUGUAAAUAGUUAUAAGCGGUGCAAAUUAUAGAAGUGACUCAUGGACACUUAGAUUAUUUAAUUUGAUUGCUGCCCUCAAAGAUGCCUUGCUGACUGAAGUGUAAUAGCGAUAGGUAAAGAGUGUCUGAGGAGGUUCCUUGACUUUGUCUGCCUGGCUAUUGAUAUGCAUAAAACAACAAGGAAUAAAAGAAAGACUGGGAAAAAAAACAAACAAACAAACCCUGAAGCCUUCCAUACAGCGGUUCCCUGCCUUCGAGUCACAGUCUAAAUGAAACUUUUCAAAUUCCUCUCUCCCAGUUCAGCCUGUUCCCAUCAAUCAGUGGCUGUGGACGAUGGGGCCCUUUACAGGUCAGUCCAUUUAUCCUUGAGACUGCCGACAGGACUUUGCCCUGAAAAAUUCUCAGACAGAUGGGCGACUGUCCUCCUUUUCAGAGCUUUCCUGAGAAAUAAAUCAUCAGCAUUCUCAGUAACCCACGUUGGUGCGGAGCGUCUGGUAAGAAAGUAUCAAAUUAGCAUAGCCUUCAAAGGGAGAGGAGUCAGGAGUCCAGCUCUGUGUUUGGUAACAUGAAUCAUGCAUCUUAGAAUAAAGGAGGCAUGGAAAUCAAACACUUAAUGUGUCAGAAAUAACUGGCUCAACUCAUCACCCUGUGAC